GCCUUCGUGGUUUAGCUGGAAACACGUUCGGCUAGCAAUCGGAAGGUCCAGAGUUCAAAUCUCGGCGAAGGCA